UUGUCAUUGAUGCCAUCAGUGA
rnacentral:siRNA from 1 species